rnacentral:rRNA from 1 species
AGUUUGAUUAUGGCUCAGAUUGAACGCUGGCGGGAUGUGCUUCUUUUACACAUGCAAGUCGAAUGGCAGCAUGGACUUCGGUCUGGUGGGCGAGUGAAGGAACGGGUGAGUACGUAUCGAACGUGCCUAGUAGCGGGGAUAACUACGCGAAAGCGUAGCUAAUACUCGCACAUUCUUCGGGGAAAGCAGACCUUUUCGGCCUCGCACUAUUAGAGCGGCCGAUAUCGGAUUAGCUAGUUGGUGGGGUAACGGCCUACCAAGGCGAUGAUCUGCAGCUGGUUUGGUGAGGACGACCAGCCACACUGGGACUGAGAUACGGCCCAGACUCUGCUACGGAGGUGGCAGGGGAAUUUGUGUGAUAAUGGGGAAACUUGAUCCAGCCAUCCUGGCGUGUGCGCGAUGAAGGCCUUCGGGCUGUAAAGCACUUUUUGGCAGGAAAGAAACGGCACGGGAUAAUACCCGUGCAACUGGCGGUACCUGCAGAAUAAGCACCGGCUAACUACGUGCCAGCAGCCGCGGUAAUACGUAGGGUGCAAGCGUUAAUCGGAAUUACUGGGCGUAAAGCGUGCGCAGGCGGUUCGGAAAGAAAGACGUGAAAUCCAGAGCUUAACUUUGGAACUGCAUUUUUAACUACCGAUAGAGGUGUCAGAGGGAGUGUGGAAUUCCGCGUGUAGCAGUGAAAUGUAUAGUGGAGAACACCGAUGGCGAAGGCAGCUCGGGAUAACACUGAUGUCAUGCACGAAAGCGUGGGAGAGCAAACAGAUUUAUGAUACCCUGAGAGUCCACGCCCUAAACGAUGUCAACUAGCUGUUGGGGCCUUCGGGCCUUUCGGUAGCGCAGCUAACGCGUGAAGUUGACCGCCUGGGGAGAAGGUCAAGAUUAAAAACCCAAAGGAAUUGACGGGAUCGCAUGCAGGAUGAUGGGAUUAAUUCGAUGCAACGCGAAAAACCUUUACCUACCUUGACAUGUCUGGAAUCCCGAAGAGAUUUGGGAGUGUCGCGGCAGAGAACCGAACACAGGUGCUGUAUGGCCGUCGUCAGCUCGUGUCGUGAGAUGUUGCUAAGUCCGGCAACGAGCGCAACCCCUUGUCAUUGAAGCGCUGAAAGGCACUUCAAUGAAAGACUGCCGGUGACAAACUGGAGGAAGGUGAUGACGUCAAGUCCCUCGCGCCUUUAUGGGUAGCUUCACACGUCACAAUGGUCGGGACAGAGGUGUCGCCAACCUGCGAGAGGGGAGCCAACCAGAAACUGAUCGUAGUCCGAUCGUGUCUGCAACUCGACUGCGUGAAGUCAAUCGCUAGUAAUCGCGGAUCAGCAUGUCGCGGUGAAUACGUUCUCAUGGGUCUUGUACACACCGCCCGUCACACCAUGGGAGUGGCUCAUGAAGUAGUUAGUCAACUGCAAGGAGGGCGAUUACCACGGUAGAUUCACAUCGGUGAAGUCGUAACAAGGUAA